rnacentral:lncRNA from 10 species
CUUGGGCAGGUCUGGAAAAAGCACCAUUUGAUUGGCUAAAAGGCAUCCAGGAAGUAAAGAAGUUCUUACUCCGGUGACGGGCUCCACCCAAAACUGGAAAGGGAAGACUCUUUCUGAGGGUUUGAUAACUGAGGAUGAAAUAAACAGUCAUCAGGCAAAUUAACAGGAGAAAAAGUAUAAAAAUAUAUUAUGUGCAUGAAGGAAUCUCAGGAAAGAAAGGUAAAUACCCCCAAAACCCAGUAAGAUCUUGAAAC